rnacentral:tRNA from 1 species
AACAAAUAAUAGUGGUUAUGGCGUGUGACUCAAGCGCAAGCUUAUCGGGUUCUUCCCGACGCAUUCUCAUGGGCGUAGCCCGCGGGGGUUCGAAUCCCCCACUUGUCA